GUGACUGACUGUGUGUGUUUGCAUAUGUGUCCUGCCUCUCUGCUCCAGCUGUUAAGAGGUCAGAGUUGAUCAGUGGCUGUCCAGGCCUUUCAGAGCCACUGACACACCAGCAGCACAAUGAUGAUGUCACUGACUCUACUGCUGACCAUCCUGGGGCUCCUGGUUCAGGGAUCUUCAGGACAAGUCACCAUAACUCAGACUCCUGGAUCUCAGUCUGUUGCUCCAGGACAGCCUGUCUCUAUUCAAUGUAAAGUCAGUCCAAGUGUAAAUCACUGUUUCAACUGGUAUCUUCAGAAACCAGGAGAAGUUCCAAAACUUCUUAUUAAAUGCGCAAGCACCCGUCAUUCUGGAAUCCCUGAUCGUUUCAGUGGAUCAAACUCUGGGAAUACUGACCUCACUCUGACCAUCAGUGGAGUUCAGGCUGAAGAUGCUGGAGUUUAUUACUGUCAGAGUGCUCACCACAUCAACAGCAAGUGGAUGUUCACACAGUGAAAAACCAUCGUACAAAAACCUCCCUCAGUCAAAUUAAACUAACGGGUCUGAUAC